UACGUAGGGGGCGAGCGUUAUCCGGAAUUACUGGGCGUAAAGGGUGCGUAGGUGGUUAGGCAAGUCAGAGGUUUAAGAUCGGGGCUCAACCCCGGUUCGCCUUUGAAACUGCCUGACUUGAGUACAGGAGAGGAAAGUGGAAUUCCUAGUGUAGCGGUGAAAUGCGUAGAUAUUAGGAGGAAUACCGGUGGCGAAGGCGACUUUCUGGACUGUAACUGACACUGAGGCACGAAAGCGUGGGUAGCAAACAGGAUUAGAUACCCUGGUAGUCCCUGAGCGGGCUGG
rnacentral:rRNA from 1 species